GCGGUCGUGGCCCAACGGAUGGGCGCCACGUUGCCAGCGUGGAUCACGCGGGUUCGAUUCCCGCCGACCGCU
rnacentral:tRNA from 1 species